rnacentral:rRNA from 1 species
ACGCUCGACACCUACGGGUGGCAGCAGUGGGGAAUAUUGCACAAUGGGGGAAACCCGUGAUGCAGCGACGCCGCGUGAAGGAAGAAGUAUUUCGGUAUGUAAACUUCUAUCAGCAGGGAAGAAACUGACGGUACCUGACUAAGAAGCACCGGCUAAAUACGUGCAGCAGCCGCGGUAAUCUGAGCGGGCUGGCAAGGC